rnacentral:misc_RNA from 1 species
AAGUCGUAACAAGGUUUCCGUAGGUGAACCUGCGGAAGGAUCAUUUGAGGUGGGAGGUGGGUAGGAGGGGGUUUGAGGUGGGUUGGAGGGGGUUUGUUCCCUUUCCUUCCCUUCUUUUUCUCCCCCUUUCCACCCAACAAAAAGAGAUGGUGUGGUCAUUUUUCCCAAGUUGUGAUUCAAUUGCACACACAGAGAUGAUCCAUUGUUGUGGGGUUCACCCUUGGCAGUGGACAUGUGUUGUGUGUGGUUGGGUCACCAUUUGAUAUGGUUGAAGCUUAUCCCUACCCAUUUACAGGUGAGAAACAAAGACAAAGGAUUGUUAACAAAGAAAACAACUGUCAAUGGUGGAUCUCUAGGCUCGU